AUUGAACGCUGGCGGCAGGCCUAACACAUGCAAGUCGAACGAGUGGCGGACGGGUGAGUAAUGUCUGGGAAACUGCCUGAUGGAGGGGGAUAACUACUGGAAACGGUAGCUAAUACCGCAUACCAUCGGAUGUACCCAGAUGGGAUUAGCUAGUAGGUGGGGUAACGGCUCACCUAGGCGACGAUCCCUAGCUGGUCUGAGAGGAUGACCGGCCACACUGGAACUUAGCCACGGUCCAGACUCCUACGGGAGGCAGCAGUGGGAAAUAUUGCACAAUGUGCGCAAGCCGGAUGCAGCAAUGCCGCGUGUAUGAAGAAGGCCUUCGGUUUUUAAAGUACUUUCAGCGGGGAGGCGUUACCCGCAGAAGAAGCACCGGCUAACUCCGUGCCAGCCGCCGCGGUAAUAC
rnacentral:rRNA from 1 species